GUGAGCAAGGGUGUUGGAGGCAGCAUCUCCCGUCUUGGUCAAGCAGUGGGUAGUGGCUUUAGAGAUGGUGACAACAAGCAAGAGGUCGCGACUAAAAUCCAGAGCGAGACCCCUAAACUAGAAGUCAGCAGCAAGCCGGGAAGACUCUCACUGGACAGAAUUGGUGUGAGGCUUCCUGGAUUCUCUAACCGAGUAUCGUCUACUAAAGCAGCAGGAGGUUGUGGGGAAGGAGGACCAGGGGAAACCAGAGACAGCAGCCACAGCAUUACCUCUCCUUCAUUUACACCUAUUGCUGAGGAGGGGGAAGGUGCUGUCAGAGGUACAGUGGUGGAGGGUGCUGCAGUAGUUACCACUACAAGGGUGACGCCUUAUAAAAGGCUUGUUAAAUUUCUGGGCAAGGAUUCCUCUCAACAAUCAGAAGCUGACAUCCCUGCCCAUGCAGUCUUUCUGCGAGAGCCACCCCGCAGAAAGGUAAGUACGAGAUCGUUUUCUGUUAAUUGUAAUUUCAGACCGAAAAUGUUUUAGG